AGUGAACGCUGGCGGUAGGCCUAACACAUGCAAGUCGAACGGCAGCACAGUAAGAGCUUGCUCUUACGGGUGGCGAGUGUCGGACGGGUGAGGAAUACAUCGUAAUCUACUUUUUCGUGUGGGCUAACGUAGGUAUACUUACUCUAAUACCUCAUACUUCCUACGUUUUAAAUCAUUGGUUCUUCUGUCCUUUCGCGUUUUACUUAGCCGAUGUCGGAUUAGCUUGUUGGCGUGGUAAAGUCCCACCAAGGCGACGAUCCGUACCUGGUCUGAGAGGAUGAUCAGCCAAACUGGAACUGAGACACGGUCCAGACACCUACGGGAGGAAGCAGUGGGGAAUAUUGGACAAUGGGCGAAAGCAUGAUCCAGCAAUACCGCGUGGGUGAAGAAGGACUUAGGGUUGUAAAGCCCUUUUGUUGGGAAAGAAAAGCAGCAGGUUAAUACACCGAUGUUAUGACGGUAACCAAAGAAUAAGCACCGGCUAACUUCGUG
rnacentral:rRNA from 1 species